rnacentral:rRNA from 1 species
AUUGAAUGCUAAGAGAAUGGAAUUUCAGAAAAAAACUUUUUUCAAGUUAAAAAUUGAAAUUUUUUUAAUUUGUGCAGAAACAAUUAUUAAUAUUAAGGACAAGAAGACCCUAUGAAUUUAUAAAUUUUAUUUAAUAUGUAACUACUAUUAAAAAAAUUUUGGCUGGGGCGGCGGAAAAAUAUUUAAAACUUUUUUAAAAUAAAAUGACCCAUUAUUAAUGAUUAUAUGUUAAAUACUCUAGGGAUAACAGCGUUAUAUUUUUUGAUAGAUCAUAUUGACAAAAAAGUUUGCGACCUCGAUGUUGGAUUAGGAUACUUUUUUAAUGCAGAUAUUAAAAAAAGAAGUUUGUUCAACUUUUA